rnacentral:sRNA from 1 species
GCCGGGCACCGUGGUGCAUGCCUGUAAUCCCAGCAGCUCGGGAAGCUGAGGCAGGAGGAUUUUGAAUUCAAAGCCAGCCUCAGCAAUGGCAAGACACAAAGCAAUUUAGUGAGACCCUGUCUCUA